UACAGAGGAUGCAAGCGUUAUCCGGAAUGAUUGGGCGUAAAGCGUCCGCAGGUGGCAGUUCAAGUCUGCUGUCAAAGACCGGGGCUUAACUUCGGAAAGGCAGUGGAAACUGAACAGCUAGAGUAUGGUAGGGGCAGAGGGAAUUCCUGGUGUAGCGGUGAAAUGCGUAGAUAUCGUAAGGAAGACCAGUGGCGAAGGCGGGUCUCUGGACAGUUCCUGACGCUGAGGCACGAAGGCCAGGGGAGCAAACGGG
rnacentral:rRNA from 1 species